AAGUCGUAACAAGGUUUCCGUAGGUGAACCUGCGGAAGGAUCAUUACUGGAAAUAAUUCAAGGUUGUUUUAGCUGGCCUUCCGGGGCAUGUGCUCACCUUGUUUUUCAAAUCCACCUUUUUCACACCUGUGCACAUAUUGUAGUCUUAUUAUUGGGGAUAAAAAAAAGGGAUUCAUUCCCCCCUAACCCUUUAGUAUUCUACGUAUUUUUCCACACAUACACAAAGUUUUAUGAAUGUCCAUUAUUUGUGAUAAACACACAUCUAAAACAACUUUCAACAACGGAUCUCUUGGUUCUG
rnacentral:misc_RNA from 1 species